UGCCCAAUUGCCUCCAAUAAGGUGUGUUUGAUACUAUUUCGUCACAAUUAUCCUUCUGGAUUACAUUCAAAAUCAUUUUGGGCAACGCAAAAGCGUCCUAUGCGUUUUGGCUGGAGCAUGAGGCAUCGCUAAAGAAGAAGUAACUACCCUGGACACUAGGUAUUUAGUAUACAAAGGUGGGUUUAAAAGUAAAUAAUAAAAUAUAUAAUUUAAAAAGAUAAAAAAUAAUAAUUUAAAUUAUGAGUAAAACGAAAUAUAAAUAUAUAUAUAUUCUUAAUAAUCAUUUUCUAAUUUAAUCAUUGCAAAAUCUUAAUAUCACAUCAUCUCAAAACUAAUAUCUCAUCAAAAUUAAUCUUACCGUAAUAAUAAUAUUCCACACUAUAUGCAUUGUGAGUAAUAAAAUAUUUUAUAUAAUUUAAUUAUUAUAAUAAAAAUAAAUUCAAUCAGUCAGCAAAAACUAUAAAUUCUUCAACCUCAGACGCCAAUUUAUGGAAUUUAAUUAUGAAAGAUUAACAUUUUUUUCAAAUUCAAUUAAUUAAAAUUUUAGCUUGAGCUCGACUCUAUCAAGAAAGAACAAAGAUGUAGAUGUAAGCAUUUUUAUUUUAUGGGAAACAUCACUUCCUUGAAAAUCAGCUGACCAUAUUUACGACCCUAGCUCCUCGCUCUAUGGAUUUUUAGUCAAAUUUGAUAGUCAUUUUCUUCUAUGAUAUGAACCAUACCAAGGGUUUGAUUUGAAUUAAGACGACCAUCUUUCACGAUUUCGAGCUCGACCCAUUUCGAUUCUCGGUAUACCCAGACCCGAACCGUAUUAAAACGAUGUUUCUUUUGGAUUGGUUCUACGGUGUUCUUGCUUCCCUUGGUCUAUGGCAGAAAGAGGCUAAGAUCUUGUUUCUCGGUCUCGAUAACGCCGGCAAAACCACUUUGCUUCAUAUGUUGAAAGACGAGGUUCGUUUUCCCAUUUCGCUCUGUUCUUUUUUUUAAAAAAAUAAGUUUAUAUGAUUUUGAAUCUCUGAAUCAAUUUCCAUCGCUUUUGUUAGUCUAAUUUUUUCCAGGUUUAUAUGAUUGGUUAACUAAUUGAGAAAUUUGAGUUUCUUUUCUAAUUGGGAAAUGAGGAAAAUUUUGAUGUUUGAUUAUUGCUGAACUGUUUUGCAGAGAUUGGUUCAACAUCAACCAACUCAGUAUCCCACAUCGGAAGAGCUUAAUAUUGGGAAAAUCAAGUUCAAAGCUUUUGAUCUGGGUGGUCAUCAGAUUGCUCGUCGAGUCUGGAAAGAUUACUAUGCUAAGGUAGCUUAAAAGCUCAAAGUAAAUGCUUUUCACUAACAUGAUGGUUAUUAGUUUUAGUGAUACAGCAUUCACUGAAUCUGUUUCCUUACAAUUUCAAUUGGCUGCAAUUCUUAGUCAUUUGUUUUCAGAGUUUUUAAUCUCUUGUUUUUCCAUUUUCAUAUCAUUUUUUAAUUGGUAGAUUUUGGUAUAUUUUUGUCAUUGUUUGGUAAUUUAUACUUGCUUUCUUCACUAUGAAAAUAGGCUUCAAGAAAUCAUUUAUUGUCAGGAGUUUAACCAUCAUUAUUUAUAUGUUGUUUUCUUUCUGAUUAUAUCAUUAUCAUUUUGUUUUCCUGUCACCCAUUCUGCUUUUGCUUUUCUCUUUGAUUACUAUUUUUCAUAUAAAUGCACCCGAGCUAUCUUCAUGUACAGUCUAAUAGUCAAUGGAAUUUUACUGUCUCGUGAUGCAUGAGAAACCAAAGAAGAAUAUCUCUAACAUACUUUUAUAUGCUAAUAUCUUUAUUAUUUCAUGGCCAUAAAUUUUCUGUAGGGAUGGCCAUAAAAGCUUAUUUAUUACAUAUGUAUUACAAUAGUUAGACAUAAAAUAAAGAAUAGUUAGUACAAAUUUAAACUUGAAAUUAAAACGAUAAGUAAAACUCUAGUAAAAAAUAAGACUUUCAAAAUCAGCGAAAAAUUUUCCUCCUCUUUCCCCAAAACAAGCCAUGUGAGUGGCUAAAAAUUACUAAUUGAAAUUAGUUUAUUGGUAACUUAAAUACUAAAACAUGGUGAAAAAAUAAUACUCCCACCAAUUGUAGCAUAAAUGAUAUGUUUAGCAGAUUGACUUAUUUCUCUAGUUGUUUAGGUUGAACACGGGUCUUGUACAGUAAUGGAAAGCCUGAACUCUGGUUAUCCAAUCUGUAAGUAGUUGGCUUUUUGUCUUCUAUAAAAGUGUGUCUUCUUAAUAUUUUAUUCUGCAUAGUGACCAAGUAUUAUCUGUGGAGCUGUAGCUUUCUACAACCUAGUAGCUUGCUGUUGGUUGCUCCUCGCUGGGGCGUGAGGUGGUUUUCUUUCCUUAUUUCUGCUCAAUGAUUUAUUUUUGCGCCAAAACAAGCCUCACCGUGGGCAAUGUCUACCUGGGUGCUCAAUAAGGUGAUCUUGAAUUGCUGGCUGGAAGUUCAAUGUCAUAUGGUAGAAGUGUUGUGCACGGUUCUAUCAACCAUGGUCAAUGCUUUCAAGCAACAUGGGAUUUUUCUGUUUUAGCUUUUAGUACAUUCAGGAGAUCCAAUUAUACCUUUUUCUCAUUUUGAUUGGUUUUCUAUUGUACCUUGUUCUUAUCGUUUCUUGUUAUAAGCUAUAUAUUGUUUGCCUUGUCUCGAGUGUUUUACUUUGAGUUGUGCAUUUCUGGGUCAAGGUUGAUGCUAUGGUGUACCUGGUAGAUGCCUAUGAUAAAGAAAGGUUUGCAGAAUCAAAGAAGGAACUGGAUGCACUCCUUUCCGAUGAGGCCCUUGCCAAUGUCCCGUUUCUUAUACUAGGAAACAAGAUCGAUAUACCAUACGCUGCCUCAGAGGACGAGUUACGAUACCAUCUCGGGCUCACAAACUUUACCACCGGCAAGGGUAAGGUAAACCUGGCAGACUCAAACGUCCGUCCACUAGAAGUAUUUAUGUGCAGCAUCGUCCGCAAAAUGGGUUACGGCAAUGGCUUCAAGUGGAUGUCUCAAUAUAUCAAAUAGAGAAAAUGGUCUCAAAGAUGCAGUAGGAAAGAUCUUACAGGGUGCCAAACCCCAAAUUCCAUAACUCCCAACUUCAAGGGGGGGGGGGGGACAAAGAAACUGUAUUCAUCAAACUGUUAGAAACUUAGCCCCUAAGUGGGUUUUAAAUUGGAUGUAUUUGGUUUUGAAUUUGUGUGAUAGGGAGGUACUCAUAUCCCUCCUCACUCCCCUUUUUUUCCAUGUCUUGAAGAAGGUGGCUACCAGAACUAGAAAAUGGCAAGUUAGAUUUCGCUGUGAACUUUGGCCAUUCAAACAUAGUAAGAUAAUUCAAAGGGUCUAAUUAUGGUUCUGGUCUGUCUGGAUUUAAUCUAUCUACUUUAACUUAAUAUAAUUUGAUCUUAUUAAUAGGUCUAAAUUGUUUACACCAUUAGUUGUUAUCAUUAAAGUUAUGAUUUGUUUUCCUGUCAUUCGAUUAUGUAAUGAGGGGCAAACUCAUGCCCACUAGAGGUGAGUUUGUUUGGUUCGGUUUGCUUGUAUUUUUUUUAAUUUUUAGACUCAUUUUGACAAAAUAAAUUUUAUUUUGUGGAUAUUAGACAUUAUUUAAUAAAGUUCUUCAAAUUCUUUUUCAUAAAAUUUUUAACUAAAUAGAAAAGAGGUAAUCAACAACUAUUUUAGAAAAAUAUAUAAGAAUUUUAAAUUGUUUUCAUUAAUUUAAAUAUAAAAUAUUUAUAUUUACAUGAUAAAAAUAUAAUUAAUUAGAAAUUAAAUAAUAAUAAUUCAAUUUGGGUUUAACUUGCAUUUUAAAAACCGUUGAUUUUAAGUUUACUGAUGUCUUCUUGGUCAACCCUAACGCCCACAGGCUACACUGGCAUGAGCAUAGCCCACAAGUACCCUUUGUUUCAACCACGCUGCAACUAGCACACAGCUCACAAUAUAUUAAUAAUCCGAGACUGAGUCUCCCCUGCAAAGUCUGAAACUUAAAUCACACGUCCACUUUCACCGCCAUUGUUUACCAUCUUCUUGUCAACUCCCUUUACGUGUCCCUUCUUUUCAAUAAUUAAACAAUUCAUUCUUUGACUCAUCCGCCUCCUUCCAUAAUAUAUAUACCCAUGCACCCUCCACUACUCACUUUCAAGUCUCCCCAAUAUAUUCUCCUUUUAACUUCUUUACGUAAACCACUUCCUUUCGCAGAGUUAAUAACUUUCAACUUACAUGGGAAACAUUACCUUUAGCUGCUUCGUUCCGAACAGUAAAGAAAUGGCUAAAAUAAUCGACGCUCGAGGGAACCUUAAGAAAGUUAAGCUGCCAGUAACGGCGGUGGAGGUGAUGAUUGAAGAACCAGGUCAUGUCAUCUCUGCCAUGGAAGAGUUAAAACGAAGUCGUUCCGUGGUGGCCAUGCGAGCUGAGGAUGAACUUUUGGUAGGUAAAGUUUAUGUUUUGGUUCCCAUAGGAAGGGUUCAUUGCAAGGUUACGGAUAUGGAUGUAGCAAUUAUGGAAGCAGCUUGUAAUGGAAAGAAGAGGAGAAAAAGUGGUGGUGCAAAGGUUUCACCGUAUGCGGCGGUGGUGGAAGAGGGUUACGUUCAAGUUCGUGCUCCUCGUGGCUGCCGAUUGGGGAGUUACAGGCGGUGGACUCCUGUAUUGGAAUCAAUUUCUGAAGUGAUUUGAGGAAUAUAAUGAACAUCAUUCUUUCAUUGUUUUAUGUAAUUAAACAAUAGAAUUAGUUUCAUUUGAUGAAAGCGGCGGUGCGUAUAUUGCAAUUAGCAUGCGCAGACAAAUUUUGUGUUGAAUUUUAUGAGAAAAAGUUGGAUACUAAUUAAAAUUGUACUUAAUGAAUUUUGACAUACUAUCAUAUUUUUGAAACUUGAUGCAAGAUAGAUUGUAGAAAGUUGAUGGAAGAUAGAUGUAGUCUCACUUCACGGGCGGUUGAGAUUUAAUUUUGAAAAUGUUAAUAAACUUUAGUUAAAUUAUUGUUUAGAAAUGUAGCCUGCUUCAAGGAUCGUCAAGACUUUGUUUUGAAGUUAUAACUGAUCACUUUUGUGUUGGUGCAACUAGAGAGAGAGUUUGGUUCAAGACUCUUUAAGAUUUGAUUUUGAACGAUUGAGUCCAAUUCAAAGGUUGAGACUUGAUCUUGACAUUAAAAUCAAUCGAUGAACUAAGAUCGAAGACAAGGUUUCUGAGGAGUGGCAUAGAAUUUUCCAGAAUUUUUUCAAAUUCACUUCAUAGGCCUCUUCGAAUUUUAAAGAGAACUUCGAUAUUUAAAACCUUCUCUUUGAGCUUUUAAAUUCUACACUUGAAUUUAUGUUGAAUGGCUUGAAAGUAACCCUUUUAAUAAUGCUAGUGAGUAGUGAGUCAAGAAAAAUAGACAUAUUAUUAUAGAAUAUGGUUUCUUUUUUCUCUUAAAUAAUUUAAUUUAAUAAGAAAUAAAUUAUAUAAAAAUUUAAAAAAUUGUAUGCAAGUAUUUUUUUAUGAAUGGUUUAAGCUCUUGAUUAAAAACAUCAUAGUUUGGAUGAAUAGUUUAAGCUUGCGCUUAAGAGCAUUUUUUUUUUGAAGUGGCUUAACAAUGUCAUCAUUUUUGGGGAUAAAAAGUUUAAGCUUGUGUUUAAGAGUAUCCUCAUUUUCCUUGAAUUUACAAUUUAUGCUCAUGUGUAGUAGAAAUAAGCAAUUAAGGUUUGUACUUAGGAGUACCAUUUUUUUGAAUGAAUAGUUUAGGCUUGUUUUAAGGACAUCAUUUCAAAUAAACAAUUUAAGCUAUGUUUAAGCGUUUGUACCUAGGAGUAAUGCUUUUUAUUAACCUUUUCAACAUACCAAAAAGCCCAACCAUGACACUUUUGAUACUUUUAAAGAAUACAAUUGCUUCCAUUCCCUUAGUUAUCCAUCAAUUUAUUUACGUUUGGAGUCAGUGUGAUAAAGAUUAAAGGAGCCAAACUUUUUGGUUCUAUCAAACAUAAGGUUGAGAGAAAUCAUGAUGACUGAUGUCAAAUUUGACGACACUUCUUAUUCUUCAAACUAUUCUUUUUCAAUUCGCAUGAUUUUUUUUCCAAAAUAAAGCACUUUUUAAUAGGGUAACUAAAUAAGCGAUAAUACUUGCAAUUGUGAGAUAAUCUACUCUAUCAAAUUCUUCAAUUCAUUUUUUGGCAACUAAAUCAACUUAGACUUUAAGAGUUCGUCACGUAUACUUGGAACAUCAGAAUGAAGGAAAGGGUAAUUCUUUUUCUUGCCUCUCAUUCGUUGUGACUUUUCCAUUACCAUUGAUUUUGACAGAAAAACAAUUUUAUAUUCAAAGUCAUUACUGAUCAAUAUAUUUAUUAUCAUCGAAGAUUUUCCCUUGUGUAUUUUGGCGAGGCUCUUGAUACUUAGCAAUUGUCAUACACAUAUCUAUGUUGUGAACUCGAGUAUUUAAUUCUUCAAAGGAUUUCGACUUGAUGUCUUGGAGAAUGUAACACAAGCCCCAAUUCAUGUCUUAUAGACACUUGUCAAUUAUUGAACGAAUGGCUUCAAUAAGAGAUCUCAAUCAGUGCUAGUCUUAUUGCAUGUUUUCACAAAGUGUGCAACAUGUUCACAUAGAUUUUAUUUGCCAUUGAACUAUUGAAACUUUGGAAGUUGAUAAUUUUUAGGCAUACUCAAACAAUCAAUCCUUCAAGAACAUGACUUUACAUGUGUAUGAAGGUUGAGCAGCACUUCUAGCUUUAUCUUUUAUGGCUUUCUUUACGAGCUUCCUAAGUUGAUCUAAAGAAACAUUGUGAAGCCUUUUUUCAACAACCUUGUUAGAAAUUUCACCAACUACUUAAAGAAUUUGAUUUUGAGUUUCGCCUGUAACAGUUAAUUGUUUCCAUCUAAACUUUCAAUUUAUACCAUCAUGAAAGCAAUUUGAUUAUCCCAUCAUUUGAUGCUUGAUGCAAUGGAUUCCAUAGCCUUUGUAAGAGAAAUCGUUUUUUCUUUAAAGGAAAGUAAUACUAGUUGUCAUCAUAAAUAACGACCUAGUUUUCAGUGGUGUCGAAAAAUGCAGUUUUGGGAUCUCAUUUCCAUAAACCAUGUAUGUAAAUAUUAAAUAAGAAUAUUUAUGGAGUUAAAGUAUUGAUGAAUUGUAAUUUGGGAUGUGAUGUUAAUUACCAUUAGAUUAAAGUAAUUAAAGAUUAAUGAUUAAUUAAUUAUGAUUAAGUUAAUUAAUUAAGUUUAAUUAAAACUAAACCAACUAUAUAUACCUAACAUAGUGGAAAAAGAUGAUGAAGCAUCAUCUUGUUCAUGUUUUUACCACCGUCCACCCUAAAAGCCAUUGGAGAAAGCUUUUGAAAAGCUUUAUACAUUUGCCCACCAUUUUUAGGUAAGUCCCUAGCCAUUUUCAUUAAUUUUAUAGAUUUGAGAUUGUGGAAGCUUAAUUUAGCUAGACCAUGUACUAAUUUGUAAAAUAGUUAAAGUUUUUAAAGUUAUCAUUGUUGAGAAAUGAAUGAAAUUGGUGUGAAAUUGUUAGAAAUUAAGCUUAGUAUAUACAAAGGACUAAAUUGUAAAUUUUAAUUGUAAGUUUCAUACAUUAGGGACCAAAUUGAAUAAAAUGAAAAAUAUCAUGAACUUUUGGUGGGAUAGAAAAUAGAAGGUCCCUAAUGAGUCAUGGUGAAACUGGAUUAGAGGCCCUAAAUUGAAAGUUAUGCUUAUCCUAAUUUUAGGGAAUAUAUUGCAAAAUCUGUGUAAUUUGGUAUUUGAUUAUGAUUUGGCUGGAAAUUGAUUAUAUGAUAUGUUUUAUGAUUAUUUGUAGCUAAUAACAACACCAAAUAGUCGGUAGGGAAAGGAAAAGUGAAAACCAUCAACGAAUGAUGCACGAAACCUCAGUUUGUACUUUUAUGAUUUAGGAUAGAAAUAUUUAAUUUUAUAUGCAUGUUUAUUGAUUGUUGAAUCAUUUAGGUGAUUCUAUUAUGAUAAUAUGAAAUAUUUUCAUUCAAUUUGAUAUGGAACAUUAAGAUACAGGACUAAAAUGAAUAAAGGGAAAUGAUAUGAAAUACUUAAAUUAUGAUAUGUGAUAUGAAAAUUAUAUCGAAAUAUAUCUUAUAAUAUGGAAUAUGUGUGUUUGAUGAUGAAAUAGGGUUGUGAUUGUGAAUUUUACUAAGAAUCGAUCUAUGUACUAAAUUGCAAAAUAAUUGUUAUGUAAUAGAACAGUGUACAGGAUACAAAAAUGCAUAUAUGACCGAAUACAGGGUAUGAAUAUGAGAGCAAGAUGAUUACAUGUAUGAAAAUUCUUAUAUAUAUAAUUGGUGUCCAUGUAAACUUUAUAAAAGGUUAGGAUAUGAUUGACAUACUAAUAGGGUUUUUAUGUGCGCUUAUACCAAAUAUGUGAUUAUACAGAUAUCAUUACAGAUUAUAUCGGGAUCCAUCAUUUGUUGUAGAUCAUCGAGUAUUAUAUGUCUCUACGGAGGCCCUGGCAUGGUGUAGUUAAAGCUCUUAUGAGCUAUCUUGUAACAACCCAAAAGUCAAUGGUGUCGGAAACAGUGAUUUUAGAACCACAUUUUCGAUCAUCGAGUCCAUAAAUAUUAUUAUUUGAUAUGUACAAGGUUAGUAUAAAGUCUAAUUGAAAUUUGGCCCUCUAAUUUUGUUAAUUGGAUAGUUAAUUAAUGUAUAAUAACUCAAUUGUAAAAGUGGUAAAAGUUAAUCGCUAUGGAAUUUUAAUUAAUUGAAGGACCAAUUAAGCAUUUUAACCCUUUUUAAUAUAGUGGACGACAAAUUGAUUAAUCAAGUUUAGUAUUAGUUAAUUUUUGUUAAUUAAGUUAAGAUUAAUUAGUUAAUUAUUAAACUAAAUAUAUAAGUUAAAAUUAGGUAAAAACAAACCAUUUUCAUGUCACCUUUUCUCCACCAAAAUAUAGAAAAGAGAAUAAGGUUUUUAAGCUCUCAAGCGUUCUAUCAUCUAAUUCGGUAAGCUGACAACUCCUUUUUUUUCAUAAUUUUUAUGUUUUUGAAGUCUUGAGAGCUUGAUUUAGCUAGCCCAUGUACCAAUUUGUAAAACUGUUAAAAUUUUUAAAAUUUUUCAUUUUUUUCUUGAAUAUUUUAGUAAUAAAUUUUUAGAUUUUAAGCUUAGAUAUGAAAAAGGAUAAAUUUGUAAACUGAAAAUUGUUAAUUUUGAACAUAGGGACUAAAGUGUAAAUAUUUUAAAAUUGACAUGAAAUUUCUAUAAUUAUAGAUAAUAUAGGGCUAUCAAAGGAUGAAAUUGAGAAUUAUUUCAAAAUCAAAGUUCAAAUUUGAAAGUUUUGGUAAUUUUGGUUUUAGGGAUUAAAUUGAAUAAAAUGAAAAAAAUUUGGGGUAUUAUAAUAAUGAAAUUGAGUUGAUAUAUGCUUAUAAUAGGAUGAAAUAAGAGGGUUGGAAUUGAUAAAUUGAAUUUAAUUAUUGAAUAGAUUAGAAAUUUGACCAAAUCAAAGAUAACAUAAAAAAUAACAAAAUUUGUUGAUUAGUCCUUAGAGAGUUGUUUGUUGUUGUUUUGACCAGGUAAGUUCAUAUGGUAUGAUUGCAUAUAUAUUUAUAUAUAUUUUUAAAUUAUGAAUUUGAAUAUUUUUUAUAGUAAUUUGAAUUGUUUGCAAUUUGGUACAAAAGGUAAUAUAUGGACUAAAUUGUAAAGAAAAUGAUAAAUUAACUGAUAAAUUAAAUAUGUUGAAUUGAAAUGUGAAAUAUUAAUGAACUAAUAGUUGAUUAUGACUGAUCAAAUCAUAAUGGUAUGAAUUUGACUGAUUAUCGAGAUAGAGGAUUAAAUUGAAAAGAAUUAAAAAUAGUGUAAUUCGAUGAAAUUAUGGAAUUGAUCUUGAAUUGGUUUGAAAUAGGAUAUGCUAAGUGAUAAACUGAUUAUUUGGGAUAUGAAUUGAAUUGUUUAAAUGGAAUUUAACAAUAAGAUGAUUAAAUAAAAGGUUACCUAUUAAUUAUUCAAGUAGAGUUAGAUAUAGUUGGCAUAUCAUAGAAUAAGUCGAGUACGGGUUACUUCGAAUACGAGUCGACAAGUUUUUGGCACAUUUAUACUUUAGUUAUACCGAUGAGACACUGUGUGCCAAACAUAUUGACUAGCGUUGGACGUAAACUAUUUACUUCAGCAUUGUUUGAUGAAGCACUAGGUGCCAAAGUGAUGUGAUUGGUUAGAUCCAUGUAUUCGCCCUAGUCAGGUUAAUAGCGAUAUAAAAUGUAAAUUGGAUAAAAUAUACUCAAAUUGAAUUGAUAUUAUGAUUUGAUGAUCUAUAUAUACAUUGUGAUAUACGAAUAUCGAUAGCAUGUGAAAGAUCAUACAAACUGAUUAUACGAGCCCGGAGGGUCGAUAUGAAAUGUGACGAAUCAAUGAAUUUGGUUCAGAAUUCGAAUAAUGAAACAAAAUAGUGAAUGUCAUUAUAUUUAAAUUGAAUGUAUUGUUGAUAAUAGAUAAAAAAAUUGUAUGAAAUUGAUAUUGAAUUGAAUAAAUGUUGGUUAUAAGUGAUUGAGAAUGUUAUAAUAAGAUGUUAUAUAUGUUGAUACUCACCUUGUUGAUAUGUGAUUGUCAUGUCUAGGAAAACCCAUAAAGCUAGUAUUUUACGGAAUUAAGGUGUAAUUUUAAGUAAGUUUUUUGUUUAAAUACCUGUGAACUUAUUAAGCAUUCGGUACGCUUACCCCAUUGUUUCCCUUUUCCCUGUAGAUCGCCAACUUGCGGAACGUGUCUAGCAAAUAGUCGAGGAGCUCACACUAUCUUGUUAAUGAUUCGAUAGUCUUUCUAUCGUUUAAAGCUCCAUUUUUUGGCAUGUACAUAGGUGUUAUAAAAAUUUAGAGUUUAAAUGUUGGUAUAGUUGAAACUGACCUAAAGUCUAAUUAAUUGGUUGUUUCAUAGAUUGAAAUGCCAAGACAAAAAGGUAUUGCUGAUGUCUAAUGGCUUGAUUGAACUUGGGAAUGGUUAGUUGUAUGUUUGGUAAAUAGAUGAAAUUGGUAUGUUGUAACGCCCCGAAAUUUGGGUCUAGAAGUAUUGGGCCUUGAGCAAGGGAACGGUUAGGAAACUGUGCACAAAAGUAUGUCUGCUUUAGUGGUUUAGGGUCCUGAGAGGAGUUGGAAAAGUCUUGGGUUCAAACCUGAGCUUUAGCAAAAAUUUUGGUUUUAAGUGGAUAAAAUCUUGGAUGCUUGGAUGUAGGCCUUUUAAAUUAUUGUGUUAAAAGAAUGACAUAAGGAAGCAUGUGGUUUAGUGGUUGUGGCAUCAUUAAGGUUGCAAGGGGGCUUAGGUUCAAGUCUUGGCUCUUGCAAUUUAUUUUGGUUUUUCUUUUAAAGGAACCUGGACUUUGGCCUUUAGACCUUUUAAUUAAUUGCAGAUAAAAUGUGACACAAAAAGAGCUUGUGGUAAAGAGACAAGUGGUGUGAAUUGGUUGAUGCAAGAAUUUUUGUUCAAACUUUUUGGCAUGCAAAGAGUAUUUAUUUUAUUUCCCUGCAGCUUGAGAAGUGGAGUUAGACUAAAACUCUACAAUGUGAAGUUUGAAUUGGUCUUGGAGUUGUUAUGGAGGAUAUCAAGGAAGGAUGUGUAGAGAUUUUCAAUGAGUUUGAAGAGGGAGGAGAGUAGUGGCCGAAUAGGAUUUAAAGCCUUAAAAAAUUCGUCCUAAGGGGUUUUUUCUCAGUUUUGGUUAGUUUGUCAUCAGUUUUUGAAAUUGUGAAGGCUCUUUUCUUUCGCUGCUCUCUUGUGCUGAAUUUGCAAGUGGCCAUUUGUGCAUUUUGGGUAUUCGACUCCUACCAUUCUGGUAAAUUAAACUAUUUUGUUUUCAAGUCCAUUCCUCUCCCCAUCUUUUGCACCAACAUCUGUCGAAACCUCAUCUUCUUCUUCUCUAUUCUUUUUUAUGUUCGGCCAACUGCUUGUUUCAUCCCUUCUUGCCUAUUGAUUCUUUCGGCCAAAUCUAUCGCCUUAGCCCUUGGGAUUCUUCCUCAUUUUCGGCUUGUAACCGAAAGUUCCCCCCUUUUUCGAUUCAGAUUCUUCUCUUCUUCAGGUGGUUCUUACUCUAGCUGAAACUCAACACUGUCCCCUUUCUGUUUCUGUUCCGCAAGUAUUUCUGACGAGGCGGUAAAUGGUUGUAUUCCCUCCUUCCAUUCAAAUCUAGGUUCUUUAAACUUUUCUAAAAGCCGAGUAUUUUUUUGGUUGAGAAGAUGGUAUUCAUGGAUUUAAGCCACAUUUUCAAUCGACCCUAGCUAACAAGAUCUGUUUAUAAUUCAAAUUCUCGACAAGGCGUGUGAUCAAUUUUGGGUUAACAUUUUAGAGGAUUAAGCCACCCUCAUUCGAUCAAGGUAAGGUGGUGUAUUUUUUGGCUAAAAGUUAAGAAGUGGUUAACUUGAUUUGUCAAUUAACUAACUGAAGUUUGGAAUGAAUGUAGGUUGGUGCUCAAGAGUUUUUGGCAAGUGUUCGCAAACAAGUGUGUAUAUAGCCUGAUCUGACUGUAACACGACAGAAGCCGAAAAGCUGAGAAUACGGUAGUUGAGGCCACAUGGGUGUGCAAAUGAUCAUAUGGUGAACCGAGCCCACAAAAUAUGGUGUUAGACUGUAAAGGUCACCGUGAGCGUUCUUAUACUCUUGGGCUGUUAUGGGCCUCGUUCGACUGAAAUGGGUCGUGUGGGCCCAAAAGGCUUGUGGGCCCCACACGGAUAAAAUUCACAUUAAGUGGUAAAUACUGGAUUGAGCUAUGUAGUUCACAUAACCGUGACUAAAAUUGGGCUAAAUAGGCCACACGAGCGUGUGGGCCCACUUAGGUCGAAUAUGGGCCUUGGGCCUAUUCAUACCGUUAUGACCAUUUAGGUUAUCUAUGUCGCUCGAGGCAACUGUAGACCUUCGAAAAGGUUGUUAAAUGACUGAAAUACCCUAGUAAGAUAAAAUAACCAUAAUACCCGUAGAGGGUAAAUGACUAUAGCCCAUCAAGGGUAAAUGACUGAUUUGUGCUAUGGUUUGAUUGACUUAAAUGUGAACGAUAUGACUGAUUUUGAGCAUGGCAUACUACAUACACGACAUCCGGCAUGGGGUUGGGAUCUUGUAUUGGAGGAAGUGAUUGAUAUGUGAGGGUCGCAUGGGUCGCACGAGACGACUGUGGACCCACCAAUGGCUUUAAGUCGAUUAUGUGAUUGGCAGCUCUGCUGUAAUAUUGGUCAGUGCUGCAACCGGUGCUACAUAAGGAGUGUAGGGAUGGGUGGGUCGAUUUAAUCCCCACAGGAGUGUAGGGUUAGACAAGAGACGGAGCGUAGGGUUGGUAUGGCUAUUUAUGCAUUGCAUAUACUGAUUCUGAUAUUGAGAUGGGCUUAGGCCUAUAUAUAUGUGAUAUGUUCCAUUUGAUAUGGGCUCAGGCCCAACCAAGGCUGAUGGGGUCUAAGGCCCAAUUGCCACUGUUACUGUUUUAGGUUAAGGCCCACACUGUAUUGUUACUGUUAAGGGCUCAGGCCUAGACUGAUUCUGUUUUUGUAUACUGGCUGUUUCUUUAUUAAGGGGAUUACACACUGAGUUUUCGUAAAGUCAUCCCGUUUUUAACCUUUCAAGUAAUCCCCAACGUUAGACGGUUCGGAGCUGCUAGAGACUCGGAGAGGGCCACACAACUGCACAUGUUUUAUUCUGUUUUGCUCAUUUACUUAAGCAAUUUGAUUUUGAUUCGGGUUGUAAUAAGGCCUCUAAAAUUUCGAGAUUUUAAAUUUUGGAAUUGAUGUGAGUGUGAUUUAUAUCUACUAGAAGUAGAACACGGUUUUCCAAAUCAAUAACUGUUUUCUAACAUUACGUUUUCGAACCUCAAUUUUUAAAUAUCACAUUUUCGUAAAUCAUUUGCUUUAAAUUAAGCUUUUGUAACAAUAAGGUUUUGAAGGUAAUAACUUUUAAUAAAGCUCGAUUGAAAAUAAACAAACGCAAACUGAGGUUUUAUACAAAUUUUAAAUGGAAAGAAGUUUGAAAUUUUCAAGAAGAGUUUUUAAUAAGAACAUGGGUUUUGAAAAACACUUCAAUUUGACACGCCAGAUUCGGGCCUAACUCGUAGGCCGAGUUUGGUGUGUUACAUAUGUAUUAAAAUUUUAUAUAGUCCACUUGGUAUGAAUUGUGUAGACGGAAGUUACAUGUUUGAGUACCAUUUGAGACAUGUUAGUAUGGUUGAUUGAAUUUAAUUGAGUUGUGGUAUUUAGCAUGUUUUGCAUUGAUUAUAUGUAGGUUGAUGGGUGUUUAUAAGCAUCAUUGUGUUUUAUGUUGGGUUGAGCAUGAAAAAGUACCUAAAAAGUGAAAAUUUUGACCUUUUGGCAAAAUUUAUCAAUACCACAUGUAAAGGUAUCGAUGUUUUACCAAGUUACCAUGAUUUAAAAAUGACGAAAUGCCAAUUUGGUAUUGAUACUAAGGUAAGGUAUCGUUACCUAUUAGAAAGUGUCAGUACAUUGAUCCAACUAUCGAUACCUUAUGAUAUUAAUUAGAUUUUUUUAAAACAUCGAAGCUUAAAAUUGUAUCAGUACCUAGGAUGGGUAUUGAUACUUGUACUGAGAUUUAAAAAGUUUGCAAUUUAGUCCUUAUUCAUUCCCGGGUCUACUAUAGAGCUUUCGUAAGCUCAAUUAAGGCUUAGAUUUAAUUUUGUAUCUUACUAUCUAGGUAUUUGUGAUAUGGUUGAAUAUUUGAAUGAUAUAUUUAUGGUAUACUUGAUCAGAAAUUUUAAAACUGUUACAAAAAGAUCCCUAUUUGAUCUCGGGUUGACUCUAAAGCAUUCGUAUGCAUAUAUAAGACCCAAGAAAAAAUCUUCAUGUUAUUCAAUGUUGUAUUAUUGAUUAAUUUCAUUAUUGAUAAAGUGAAAUGAUGUUUGUACUGUGUAUUUAUUAGUAGUUGCUCCGACAACGAAUGUGACACUCUGUUGCUCAGACUUGGCGAUCGAGUCAGGUAAGGGGUGUUACAUAAUUGGUGUGGUGUAGUUUACCCAAGUAUCCAAGUCUAUUUUACUAGGGUUUCAUCGAGCAUAACAUUAUAUUUGAAAUUGGAAAACUUAAAAAGGUAAUGAAAUAGAUUAAUAAUAGAAUAUAGUACCGAAAUGAAUACGAAUGAGUUGAUAGACUCUAGAAAGAGGUCCGGACAAUUUGUUAAAUGGGUUUUGAUAUGAAAGGAACUUGAUAUUGAAUAUCAUAAUGAAUUAAUUAUGAAUGUUUUAAAUUGUGAAUUGGUAUUGAUAGCUAAAGGCCUUAAGAUAGGUUUUGGUAUAUGUAAUUGGAUUUGAUCAUUCUUUUGCCAUAUAGAAUAUGAAUUAGUAGGGAUUGAGAUUAUAAGUAUCAUAGCAUGUUAUUAACAUUAUUUUAUGUUCUAUUAUCUUAAAUCAUGAAAGAAUCACUAAGCUUUAUUGCUCAACGUACGAUUGUUUCUUCUAUGAACAGGUGUAGAUAUUUAUCGAAGUCCCGAGAAUUGAAGCCAGCAUCCAAAUUGCAUUUUUUACUCAACAAAGUUUGUAUAGUUCAUUCAUUUUGGUUUUGUGGCAUGUAUCUAGGGGCUUUUAGUUAAAUGUUUCAAAUGGUUAAAUUGAACAUGACAUGAUCUUAUUCAGAUGUUUAGAAAUUAUGUUUGGAUAUGUUCAUAUAGUUGGUUUGAAGUCUUAAAGUUAAAUAUUAUGCAUUUGAAAUAGUUUUAGUGUAACAACCCAAUUAUAGUGGUGUCGGAAAUAAUGGUUUCGAGACUACGACACUGAAAAAUGAGCUAUUAUUUUGCUAUUUAUUUAAUGUCUAUAGGAUUAAUUAAGGUAGUAUUUUAUUUUUGUUAUGAAAUUUUAAGGUUUAAAUGGUUAAUUAGGUAAAAAUGACUAAAUUGAAAAAUGUGCAAAAGUUGAAUUCUAUUAGUUAAAAGGACUAAAUGGCUAUGGAAAGGAAAGUUAAUGAACUUAAAUGGUAAUUAUACCAUGCUAUAUAUUAGUGGAUGUUUAUGGAUAGAUUUUAAUGAAAUGUUAAUAGUUUUAAAAGUUAAUAUGAUAAUUUGAUAAUUAAAUUAAAGGUUAAACAAAGAAAAAGGAAAGAGGUUGUGAUCUUUCUUAUUUUUCCUAUUCCAAAACUGAAAUAUCCAUUGUUGAAAGAAAGAAAUAUUCGGCCAAGCUUCUUUUGAUGCAUGGAAUAUGAUUUUGAUUUCGUUUUUAAUGAUAUUUAUGUUUUUGAGCUUGUUUUAGCUUAGUCUAGCUAGCCCAGGGGUUAAUUUGCAAAAAUAUUAAAGUUUGAGGGACUUUUCAUAUUUGAAUUUGAAUGAUUUUUUAUGUUAAUUGAUAGAUUAUUAUCCUUGGUUGUUAAACCAAUAUGUUUUGUUAAGUGAUUUUUGGUGAAUUUUUGUUUAUGGAUUAAUUAGUUAAAAUAGUAAAAUUUCAUGGUAACAUUAUGAAAUGAUGGUUUAAGUGGGUUGAUAUGGGUCCCUAAGAAGUUUGGCUAGCAUGUAUGGAAGGUUAAAAUAGUUAAAUUUGAAGUUACGAGCUGAAUGACUAAAUUGUGAUAAAGUUAAAAUAUUAUAGGUAAUUUCGUAAUUUUACAUUAAUAUGAAUUAUUGAUUGAAUUGAAUACUUGAAGUUAUUUGAAGUACUUAAUUGUCUAUUUAGAUUAAGAUAAACAACAACUGGACUUAAAUCGGGGAAAAGUUAAGGCUUUAGACUAAACUUCAAUUCUACAACUAUAGUUAUCGAGGUAACUUCGUAUAAAUUAUAAUCUUAUUAAUGAUAGUUUGAUUAAUUAUCAAAGAUGUUGUGUUAGUUAUAACAUGACUUGAAAAUUCAUGUAUAUCGAUGUUUUGAUAAAUUAACGGAUAAAUAAUCAUGUUUGAACUUUAAGAAUUCUCAGGAUACGUAUGACAUGUCAUUAGGGAUUUCAUGUUCCGGGUGCUGGUCUUUAAUGUCCUAACGAUGGCUGAGGUCCUGCAUUUGUUACGAAUUCUCCAUAGCUCAUGUGAGCAGCAUCGUGUAGCUAAUAUUCUAACCCACAGCUCGUGUGAGCAAGCCUAUUUCACAGCUCGUGUGAGCACUAUUGAAAAGGAAAAGUUACGGUUACAUGGAAAGGCACACUAUGUGUGAGCGUUCUCAAGUAUCCAAUGCAAUUCGAAAUGGUUUAACAGGUAAGUAAAGGAAAUGGCAUGGUAUGUAUACAAUUGGAUAUUGGUUCAUGAUCUUAUGGAAAGGUUAAUGUGAUAAAUGAUGUGUACAUGAAAAUCUACUUAUGAUAUGGUUGAACUUAUAUGUAUCAUGCAUGAACUUACUAACUUGCGAGUUUGAUGAUGCUUAUAUAGGAUUUUACAAAGCUUAUGGUCUUGGUAAUGAUGUUAUGCUUAAUCUAUAAAUUGUGCUUAAGAAUUGUAAGUUAUGUUAGAGUUUAUACGAGCUUACUAAGCACUAGUUGCUUAUGUAGCUAUUUUCCUUUGUUUCGUAGAUUAUCGGAAACUCGAUCGGUUGGAAGUUUGUCGGAGAUCUAUCAUACUAUCUAGCAACCAUUUUGGUAGUUUUUGAGUUAUUUUGGCCAAGGUUAUGAAUGGCAUGUAUAGGACCUUUUUAUAAUGGUAGUUCUUGAAUGUGUUAAUGGUCAAUUUGGUAUGUAUAUGCUUUUGGAGUUUAUGUUUUAUUUAAUGGACUUUCAGUGCCUUGACAAGCUUAAGUCUUUUGGCUAUGUUGCUUUGUUUUGAUUAAUGAUGUUUUGGUAUAAAUGUGGUGUCUUUGAAUGGCAUAUUGGUUAGGUGAAAUAGAUUGAUUGAAUUGAUAUUUAUAUGUGUUUGAAAGAUAUUUAAGUCUGUGCACAAAUGGAAUGGUUGAUUAGGUAUGUUUUAGUCUUGAAAUGGCUUGUUUUUAAGGUCAAAUUAUGGAGCACACGGCCUGGCUACACGACCAUGUGUCACUUAUUAUUUUAGUUUAAAUUUCACAUGGCCUAAGACAUGGCCGUGUGUAUCAAGUCAAUGACUUACACGGCCUAGCACACGAGCCUAUGUCACAAGUUAGAGAUUUACACAGUCUGACGCAUGGCCUGUGACAUGGCCAUGUGAUCUAACUCAGUGAUUUACACGGUUUGAGACACGAGCUGAGAUAUGACCUGUGUCCUUUUAUUCGAUUGUUACACGAUCCAGACUAUGUCACACGGCUUGGCCACACGGCCGUGUGACCAUUGUUUUCAAAUUUUUCAACUUUUUUCCAAAAUUUUUGAUUUGUUUUAAUUUAGUCCUGGAUUGUUUCCAAACUGAUUUUAAAGCCUCGGAGGCCCGAUAUAAGGCCCAAAUGUAUAUGUUUUAUUGGUUUGUAAUAAGUUGCAUUUAAUUAAUAUUAAAUGAUUGUUGUUUGGAUUUGCUUGAUAAUGCUCAGUAACCUUAAUUCGAUGAAGGAUACAGGUUAGAGGUGUUACUUUUUGGUUAGUUUUUGGAGUAUAAAUUAUUGAAGUUAGUUUUUAUAGGUAAUGCUUUUGAAGUCUACCAUUUUGGCACAUUUUCACUUAGUAUCAUUUUGUAAGUUGAUGUUUUGGUUACGUGAAACUAAAUAUGUAAGUGUUUUCAGGUCACCCAAACAACAAGCUGAUUUUCAAAGGAAUAGGUUGUCACAUUGUCGUAAUGAGAAAUAGAGCAAGGUUCAGGUUACGAUGACAUAGCCUAAAUUCACGAUGAACCCUAACCAGAGAGUCAUGUCACGAUGAGAAAAUCUUUGAAGAUGCGACGUCAAUUCAAAGUUUCGUAAUCUUUUCAAUUUAAUCCAUUUCAACCCUGGAUAACAAAAGAACUUUCGGAAGCUUGCAUAAGACUCGAAAAUGAUAACAUAAUGUUUAAAGUACAUGAUUUACUUGUAUUUAAUUGUAUAAUGACAUUAAAUUGUAUAUUGUUGAUUGUAGUUGCUUCAACAACGAAUGUGGAUUAUUUAAAUUGUAGAUAAAGUUCUUGAAAGACAUUGUAGCUUUGAUGAACUUUGAGAUUCAACCAGAUUUGAGAGAUUUUGAUCCAAGAGUCUUUGAAACUUGAUCUUGGAUAAUUGAGCUCACUUUAAGGGUAUUCAAGACUUGAUCUUGAAACUAGAACUGAUCUCCUUUUUUUGGAGAACUAAGACUAAAUAGGCACCUUUUUUUUUUAUAGAAUUUAUUAGAACUAGUGUAAAAUUCUUCAAAAUUCAUUCAAAUUCUUCUAUUCAUUUAAAGACUUCAUUUUUCGAAGAGAAUUUCAAAAUCUUCUGUUCAAGAUUUUGAAUACGCAUUUUUGAAAUUUUGAGCUUGCAUUGAAUGUCUUGAAGGUGACUCUCUUAUAGUGCUAGUGAAUUAAGAAAAAGUUUUUAUAGAAUAUGGCUUCUCCUCAGAGAUUUAUCCUUUUUUAUUAUAUAUUUCUUAAUUUAUUUAAUUAGAUAUAAAAUAAACUUUAUAUAAUAUGACCUAUUUAUAAAAGAGUUAUAAAAUGAUUUAAUUUCUUAAUGUAUCUAUUAAUUAAUUUAAUUAUAAAUAAAUAAUAAAUGUUUAAUUUUAGUUAGUCAAAAUUUUCUUUGAAAAGACAAAAAAAAGCUAAAGUAAAUGUGUUUAUUUUGUUUUUUUAUAUAUUACCCAUAACCCCAAACCCUUCAAUUGAAAGAUAAUAUGAAUUUAAGCACGCUUGAACACAUUCUUUUGGUUGUUGCAACAAUAAUGAUGCUAACUGAACUAAGAUUGAAUUACUAAGGCUUUGCUAGGUAGAGUGGAAAGAAAAUUAGAAAAAUGGAAGUUGAAGGGGUAGAAAACUAGAAGGAUGGAAAACAUAUUUUUUUCUUUUCAUAGGUUUGCUUGGUACGAGAGAUGGAAAAUGGAAAUGAAAUGUAAUUUCCAUCCAUUACUUGGUAAAGUUGGAAAAGGGAAGGAAAAAAAUAAAACAUUUGAAAAACACAUAAUUUUGAACUAAUAUGCACAUCUCCCUAAUUUUCUAUCCUCUCAUGAUUCCAAUUUGGAAGAAGCAUUAGGAUGGAAAAUGGGCAUCCCACCUAUUUCCUUUCCUCUCACUUUUCUUUCCAUCCAAGCACACCCAAAAUUAAUUUUCCAUCCACUUUUCCUGUAACGCCCUAAAAAUUCUGAUAUGAUACAGGGCAUAAUUUUGAGCUUGAAUAUCGAGAAAAUUAUGAGAAAAUUUAUCGAAUGAAUCAAAUGAGAUUUUAUGAAAGAAUUUUGAUAUUGGAGAUGGAAGCAAGUGAAAAGAAUCGCAGAGGUGAAAAUAUGAUAAAAGGACCAAAUUGCAAAUUUUGAAAAGUAUGAGGACUAAUGUGAAAAAUAUUUGAAUAUGUAAUAUAUUAUUUUUUUUGGAUUAUUUGACUUGAAAUGGAUUGGAAUAUAAUUUGGUGUGAUGAAAUCAAUUUUGGGACUAAAUUGGAAAUUUUGAAUUGUACAAGGAUUAAAUUGUAUUUUUCUCAUUUUUUGUCGAGAAAAAAGCCAAAGUGAGAUUUUCAUUACUCAUGGAGUUAUAAUAAAUACUUAUGAUGAAUUAUUAACUUGAAUUGGUCUAAUUAUAGAAUUUUGAGAAGAAUCACUAAAAAGGAUUUAAAAAAAGGGUAAAAUGGUAAUUUGGUCAAAAAAGUAAUUUGGUCAAUUCCCGAGACUUUAAUUAUGGAAAUAAUAUUUAAAUAUUAUAUUUGGUAUCCAGAAUCAUUUUAAAUCAUUUGAACAUCGUAUUAAAGAAAUGGACUUCAAAUUGACAUAAAAUGAAUGAAACAUGCAAACUUAGGCCCAAAGCCCAUUUGUUGGUAUUCUAAAGAUGGGAAAGAAACCCAUCAACUCAUUCUCUUCUUCUCCAACACCAGCAGUAGUAUAGAAGCUUCCACCUUUCAUUUUCUUUUAAAAAUUUUCACUACCCACUUCUAUCAUCAAUUCUAUCAUUCUCAAUCCAAGGUUUAUGGGGGUUCUAGUGAGAAAUGUUGAUGUUAGUGUGAGAAAGCUUCAAGUAAGGUAAUAUAAGGCUUCCUAUAUUUCUAUUAGCUUGAUAUUUGUUAAGAAAUUAUAUUAUUUUUUGAAUAUCUUUUUGUUGUAUGGAAAUGGAGAGAUGUUGAUUCAUGGAGUUCCAAGCUUGUUUUAGGAUGGAUUGAAGUACAUAGAAACUUGAUUUAAGUGUUGAAAAUCAUUCAUCAAGGUAAGUAUCAUGAAUACUUAUUUUUCUCCUAAGUUAGUAAGCUUAGGAGUAAUGUUAUAAUUAAGUGUUUAAUGAUGCUAAUAUUAGUGUAAAAUUCCAUGACAUUAAGAUAUGAAAUAACACAUUUAAAUGUGAAGUUAUAAUUAUACGGCCAUGAAGUGCUUUACUAAUUAAAAUUAUGACAUGAGAAUUUUGGGUUGCCAUGUAGACAUGUAUGAACCAUGUCACUAUUAUGAAAAGAUUAGAUAAGACCAUUACAGUAAAAAAAAAUCUGAAACAGUUGUAAAAUAUAUGGAAAAAUCUAUUAAAAUGCUUACCUUGAAAUUAAGUUAAUUUCAACCGACUUAUUAUCAUUGAUUUUAAUAUGUUCUUGUAUAUUAUUGUUCACAUGUUUGUAAAAAUGUGGUUUUGGACAUGUUAUUCAAAAUGGGUUAAUAGUAUGGAACUUAUUUUAUAAAUGGUUUUGAUUAAAGUCUCUUUACAAAUAUGUAAAUGAAGCUUUGAAAUUUAUUGAGGUGGCAUAAUGCCAUGACUGAAAUUAUUAUUUUAUGUUAUAGAUAUUAAUACCACGGACACAGUGGUUAAAUUAUAAAUUUACUUGAAAAUCAAGUAUUGUUCUGGUAAUUCUAAAAUGAGGCCUUAGUAGCUUAGAUAAAUAGUUCAAGAUACGAUUGAUAUGCCAAUAAGGGGACAUCUAUUUUUGAUUGUUAGGAGAUACGAUUUCAACCGUGAUUAGCCUUUGGGCGUAGCACUUCGAUGUGCACUAUUACUGCACUACUUUGGUCUUCGGAAUUAGCGCUACGACGUGUUACUAUUACUCUGGUGUGUUGGUUGGUUAGUCCCUUGUUUCCGAUUAUGAUUUCUCUAAGUUUACUAAGGGCUAAAAAUAACUAGUUCCGAUUCUGAGAUUAAACUGAUUUUGUCAUUGUAUGAAUGAAUUCUAAAAAAAAUUAGAUGCUAUUAACACUACUUUUAAAUGAUUUAUAAACCAUUAUACAAAGUUCGAAUUUUUGUUUAAAAGGGUAUUAAAUGUAAAAAAACGGAAUGGGAAAGUAAGCUUUGAAGAAAGUGGUGUAAUGAAACAUCUAAACAAAUUGUGGUAUGAUUGAAACCUUUAAUGCGCUAUUAAGGUGAGUUAAUAAUCGUGUAAGUCCUUAGGGAUAAAAAUUAAAAAAUGAAAGAUAAGAUUCAUAAAUGAAUUAAAUGUCAAAAUUGUUAAUAAAUUAUCAACAUAUAAGUUGAGACUUAACUUGAAAACUCACAUAAAAUGGUUAAAAAUAGUGACAAUGUGGCUUAAAAAACUUAAAAUGAUUAUUCAUCUAAAGGGCUCAAGGUUUAUAAAGGCUUAGGAUAAAGUUUAAUUGUCCUUGUUACUUACUAAGCUUUAUAACUCACACGUUAGUUGUUUAAAAUGCAUAGGUACAAACUUACUGAGAAGUUGCUAUGAUAGCUAGGGAGAAUUGCAACACCCGACGAUCCUAUAAGGUUGCUUUUCAAAUGUUAAAAUAUAAUUUAUAUUAUAUUAGUGGCAUGUAUACUAAGUCACGUGAUGAAUUUGGAGAUUGUAAUGGGAACGGCAUGUACUUAAGGCAACAACAUGUAUAAAUAUGCUUUAUAUCAUAUGUAAAUAGUACUUGAAACUUGGGUUAUGGUGUAGUGGUUGAAGGCUUAAGAAAUUAGUUAAAGUUUAAGAGUGUGAAAAAUUGUAAUGGUGUAGUGGUUACAGUACCGCCUGAGUAGCUCCUUGUCGAACAUUCCUAUAUUUUACAAAUUAAGUAACAUUCCUAUAUUUUACAAAUUACAUAGUUAUUUGUUUUAAUUGGCGCUAUAAGGUUUUUGAACUUUGUUUUGAAAGCAUAAAACUCAUUCUGAAUAGAAUUUAAAUAUUUUUCUAUAAUUUUAUAAAAAUGUUUUAUCAUUUUUAUUUUCUUAAAUAAAGUACUGAUUUUGCUCCAAAAAUUUUCCAUUAGUGUCACACUUUCGUACCGGCCAUCAAUAUAAGCAAAGGGCGUUACUUUUUCACUCCCUCCUCCCAUCCCUCCACUUUUUUACCCAAUCAAAUAGACCAUAAACAUGCUCAUUAUAUUGAUCAACCAACGUAGUUGAAUCCCUCAAAUCAACAUAGAUAGAAUAUACUAACAAUUAAGGUUACAAAUCUAUAUACAAUGAUUAAAUUUCAAACUUCUUUGAACUCUACAUUAAAAUUCAAUUUAUUGGAUCUGCAUACUUUCUAGAUAAAUCUAGAAUUGAACCAACCUAGAGUUAAGUAAACAUGAUUUUCUUUUAUUUUUAGUGUGUUCAAAUAAUCUUGAUUGGGAGAUAAAAGAAAUGAGUUACAUGCAGGGACGGGGUUAGGAAAUUUGGAUUGUGGGGUCAAUUUUUUUAAAAAUUAAAAUGUUUAUAAAUGUCCUAUAAAUUAUGGCAUAAUUUUUUUUUUGUUAUUCUUCUCUACUUCACUAGUAGACUUUUUAAAAAAACAAUGUUUUGCUAUUUUUGUUAAAGAACAAACAUAUCUAAGCCUUAAACAUAUAAAUGUUUUCAUGAAGUCAACAUACCACUAGUAAUUUUCUUUCACAAAAAUAAAUAUUACUUAAAUGCUUUUUAGUGUCAUAAGAAUGCAGUAUAUCAAUUUUUGAAACAAGAGAUUCACACUAAUCAAACUAGCAACAAUAACUUUUAAAUGAAAAUUCUAAAUUUCUAAUCAAUCGUGAUUUUUUUUCAAGGGUUUGUAUUAAUUAGUCUUAAUUUCCUCAAGGUUUAAAAAUUCUUCCACAAUCACGAGGUUAGAAAUCUCAUACAAAAUCAAUAAUACCAAAAUCAUUCAAUAAAUAAAAAACUAAAUCUUGCAUAAAAAAAAUACUAACCUAUAGUAAAAAAAAGCCACAAUCUUAAUUUUUCAUAAAUUAAUCAAUAAUGCAUGAAAAGAAAAGAAAAAAGAGUUAUCACUAAAUUGGAAGACCAAGAUGAAAGUCUUGAAAGAUUCACCUAUCUUUUUAAAAUUUUAGAGAGUAAGAGAAUAAAAGAAAUUUGAUAAAAAAAUAUUAAUGUUGAAAGAAAAUAAAAAAUUAAGGAUUGUUGGGUUUUAGUGAUGAGGAGAGAUUUAUUUAUUUUUAUAUAAAAUAAUUUUUUUUCAAAAAAUUUAGUGGGUACUUUUUCAAACUUUUGUGAGAUCAAUUCUUUUAUGGGGACAUUUUCAAAUUUUUUUUUUUUUGAAUUAAUACAUCAAUUAAAUAAAAUCAUUUUAAAAAAUUUAAAGGUAAUAUUUUUUAAAUUUUUUUGUGGGGCCAAUUGACCCGUAACCUUGAACGUGGCUUCGCCCCUGGUUGCAUGCGACAGAACCAAUAAUAAACUGUUAACAAAACUUGGUGAUGAAAGUUUCAUGAUACUUGAUUAGAAAAAGUGACAGUGUACUUCUUCUUUAGACAUUUACUUAAAUAUUAUUCUUGGGUUGAAUAGGAUACCUUUAAAUUAUAUAUGCGAAAAGAUGUAUUUAUAUUGGUGUAAAAUUUAAGUAAUUUUAUGCCCUUUUGUUAUCUUUUAUACGAAUAAUAUUUUAACAAUUCAACCAUCAUAUUUUAUGUUCCAUCCAUGUAUAUCAUGCAUGUUGAGUUUGGCAUAAAUAAAUUAUUUGUUUUAUAUAAAUAGCUUUCAUCUGUUAAAUAUAUAUAUUAAUAUAGACAAUCUUUUAGAAUUGAUAUAAUAAUAUAUCAUAUCAAUUCAAAAAUUUACAUAUAUAUAUUGAUAAAUUCAACGACCAAAUUGUUAAAAGAACAAUCAUAUACAAAAUUAUGAAAAAAUAUAAAACUACUUAAAUACCUCCCUUAUAUACUUAAUCUUUGACCCGGUAAACUAUUAGGUAAAAGGACUGCGUCCCCCCAUAUGACAAUUCGUACCCUUUUUUAAUCUUUGAUUGCAUAAUCUUUAUUUUUCUAAGGCAAUUUGGUAUGUUUACCAAGUUAAGGUGUUGUUUUCAUCAUUAAACCACUCCCCACUCUUUCUUAAUUAGACAAAAAGGAAGACCAAAAGAUGAAAUCAAUUGUCAUAAUCACGCUAUUGCAGUUAUAAUUAAGAUUUUUAGAUAUAAACACUGUGGUCUAUAAAUUGUUGGGAGGAUUAAAGUAAAAAAGAAAUGGUUAGAAAGGUCUAAAUUGAAUUAUUAAGACUAAAAAUGAAAUUGCAUUGUUUUAUACAAAGAGGCAAGAGGGGUUUGUGCUCUUUGGAUUUGCCCCCAUUUCAAUAAAACCUAGUUCAACCAAAAUAGAGCCAUUAGAUACUUUAACUGUGAUUUAGGGUGCAAUUUUAAUUAAAGUUUUUAGGAUUCAACCGAGUUAAAUUAAAUAUAUUAAAAAUAUUUUGCUUUAUAUUAAUCGAUCCAUUUCCAAACUCCUUCAUAACGUAAAGCAUAGAAUUAUAGCAUUAAAUUAGUCAAUAUAGGUACAGUUGAACAAUUCACGCCAUGAACGUAUACUACACCUAUUCCAUUUACCCCACAUGUCUUGGUCAAUGUUUUAUUAAUCAGAUAAAUUCUGAAUAAUUUAUUUAAAAAUUAAUUUAACUCUUAUAUUAAAUUUGAUAUAUUAAUUGAUUUUUUAUCUAAUUAAUUCGAUAGGAUGAUUUAAUUCGAUUUAGAUGGAGAAAAAGGCACUCUAAAACCCAACGACCCCAUUAUAUAUAACAGUUACCUAGUCCACCAUAAAACCCUUCACAAUAUGGUGCCGCUUAACAAACAGCAACUCUACAACUUAAGGGCCCUUUCAACAUUUCCAAGCAUAAUAAAAUCCUGUAGUUUCGUAUCCUUUCUUUAGCUUUGAUUCACUCUUCGUUGCCGUCAUAUGGGUAACUACUUUAGUGCUUUCAUUUGUCGUCCAUCAGAUAUUGCUGUUGUCGGGAAAGUGAUUCUUAGGGACGGGACGAUUCAGGAGUUUAGCUGGCCAUUGACGGUGGCGGAGCUGAUGCUGGAGCAUCCACAACAAGUGGUGGUAGAAUACCACGCGGCUGUUAACGAGAAGAAACCCGUUCCCUUACCGGCUGACCAUAAACUCCACGUGGCAAAAGUUUACGUAAUGCUGCCGGUGAAGCAAGGGAAACCAACCACGUUGUCGUCCGAGGAAGCUCGCUGGGUUCUGGUGAGUGCCAACGCCGUUUUGAGAUCGAAGUCGAGGUUCUUUCCUUUGUUUUCCAGGAUUUGCCCUGCAAAUCAUAUGCAAGUGAUGGGACAAAAAUCGCCGUUGCAGGGGAAGGGAAACGGCCGCGAAAGACUUGAGGAAGUUGGCAGUUCGACGGAGCUAAUACCGGAAAGUAUGGAAGGGAGGGUGGAGUAUAUGAACAGGCAAUAUUCCGCCAAGGGAUGGAAACCAAGCUUGGAUACUAUAAAGGAGAAGAAGAUUGAGACAAAGGUUCCGCAUUGGUUGUUUUAAAGCUAAUUAAGUACUUCUCGAAACAUACAUGAAAAUCUUAGCUACUAAUUUAGAUUAUUCGUCUUCAUCAUGCAACAGUUUUCGAAAUAUUACAUGGAAAAAACACUAGCUAAUGUUGGGUCUUCUUCGAUUUCUUUGUAGAAACAAUUAAAAAGUGUUUUUUGUUUGAGGAACUAGUUUUUAUUUUUAUAUAAACAGAGAGUUUUAAAUAAAUAAAUUUUGAAGCUUUGGUGGAUAACCUUGUGAUAAACUAUAUGAUGGUCGGUAGAUUGAUUAAAUUGAUUCAGUUAAAAAUUUAUUCAAAUUUUAUAAUUUUUUUUAAAAAUCCGGUUAAAUUAUAUACCAAGAUGCUGAUAGAUAAAUUAAAUUAGCUCAACAUAGAACAUAUGAUUUAUGCUUAUACAAGGCUUCCCGCUAGGGAAUCAGUUUAUAUUAUGUAAUUAGUUUAAGUACUCUUUUUAUCAUACGAAUGUAUUAGGUUUUAGAGGUUAUAAGUUGGAUGGAUUUAAUAAGGUAAUGAAUAUUCAUGAAUUUUCUAAUUGAAAAUUGUUAUAAUAAAAAUUAAUUAACAUCGGCAAAUUAGCGGAGUUUAUAGAAUUUUUUUUAAUAUUAAUUUCAUUAUAGAUUCUUAAUAUAUCUGUUUAUAUAUAUAUAAAAAGUUUAGAACUAUCCAUAACUUCUCCCCAACUCUUAAAUAAGAGGAUAAUGUGCUUCAGCGCACUCACACCCAUGUCCUCCUGUACUGACAACAAUACCGAUGUUAAUCAAGUUAAGACUCAACCAACCUAUUUAACAAAGGAAUUAAACAUUAAUCACAUUCAAUCUUUAAUUUGAAGUUAGUUUUUUAUCAUUAUUUAUACAAAGUUUAAUUAUUUUUCAAUUGAAGAUGAAAUGAUAUAUAUAGAAAGGGUGACGUUCACGAAAUAAUUAAACACCAAAUAUGAUAUGAUAUGAAAUUAAGGAAGUUAAAACUCAGCUAUCAAGUGUUCUGGUUAUGUUAAUCUAUUUUAUAGUUAUAAUACUGAAUGAAUUUCACUUGAUUUAAAGGCAUCAAUUUAUUUGAUAAAUGACAAUGUAUACAAUUCUAAAACAAAAUUAAUUCACUUCAUAAUGAUUUGUUGUGGUUAUUUAAUGAUUUAGUAACAUAAUUAAAAUUUUGAUUAAGUUUAUUAUUAGGAAUCAAGUCACAUUAAUUUAAUAAUAAAAUUACAAAUAAAAAUUUGUUGAGGAGAGAUCACUCUUUUUUUUUUUUUGAAUUACAAAAGGAGAGUAAAGCCCUAACAGCAACGUGAUUAGCGCGACUCGAAUUCAGGCCACACCUGGGGCGGUGAACACCCUGACCAUCAAGCUAACACACGGGGUUCAAGAGAGAUCACUCUUUGGGUCAGUUUCGGACCUUCAAUAGAGGUAUCAUCCCUAAGUUGUCUAUGUUUGGUUUUAGUCUUGGGUUUUGUUUUCCUACUUCGAGGAGAGCCCAAAGGGGUUCACUGAGUGUAGGGAGUAUUUUAGUCUUGGUGAGGUUCGAACCUAUGCCCCUAAAGAGUCUUAGUAGGUAAGCACACUACCACUUGGCUAGGGCACUCACACCAAACUCUAUGAACCCCUUUGAGCUCUUCUCAGAGUAGGAAGAUAAAACUCGAGGCUAAAACUGAGCAUAAAUGUCCCAAGAAGAUUUCCUUGUUAAGGGGAGAUCGCUCUUUGGGUUGUUCUUGGACCCUCAACGGAAGUAUUCUGUUCGAGGUGUUUAUACUCAGUUUUAGCCUUGAGUUUUGUCUUCCUACUCCAAGGAGAGCCCAAAGGAGUUCACAGAAUUUAGCGAACGUUUAAUCUACCAAGGAAACAUUUUAGCAUUUUGGCCUUAGUAGAGUUAAAAUUUGUGCCCUUAAAGGGUCUUACUAGGUAAGAACCCUACCACUUGACUAGGCUGCUUCUAUCAAGCUCUACGAAUCUCUUUGAGUUCUCCUCAAAAUAAAAAAAUAAAAAUUUAAGGACAAAAUUAAAUAUAAGUACAUAAGAAAAAUAUCUCCUUUUGGAGUAUGAGAUGGAUAAAAAAAGCAGCCUCCCUCAACAAAACUUAAUUAUAAAAUAAAAAUUAUAUACUUGUAAGGUUGUUUACUUACAGACAAUUUUAUUAUAAUUUAAUUAAAUAAUAUUUUAUCCUAAUAAAUAAAUAAGAAUGUAUGGUGACGAUGGUAUUAUAGACCAUCAUUAAAGUUAAACCUUAACUUUUAAUAGGUUUUUAUUUUUCACCCACAUCCUUCCAAUAAUUAAUAAUUACGCAUGAAGGAAGUGAGAGUCAUAUGAUAUUAGCAUUAUUUGAGAAAUUAAACCAACGAAGCUUUAACAUUAUAUUUGUUGAUGAAUGUGGAAGUUCUGAGAUUUUGAGUGUUCAACUUAAUAUUUAAUAAUAGGGACAUAAUCAGCGGAGAGGAGGGCAAGCAGGGGGACUUAUUUCUUCUUUAGCUAAAUUAAAACAUUAAAUUUUAGUCUUUUUAGUUUUUUAUUAAAUAGAAUAAUUGCAUUUUUGGCCCUAUGAAAAGUUAAUAAUUUAAUCUAAGUUUUUUUUAUAAUACACAACUUUAGCCCGGGCCCAUGCAGAUUAAAUAAACAAAAAAAUAAAACCAAAUAAAAUAAAAUUCAGUCCAUUGUCCAUUUACACCCAAAAUAAACCCAAGAUCUUAGCCCAAUUACAUAAAUAAUUAAAACCCAAAUAACCUAAACCCUAGCCCAACAAGCAGCCCAAUACACCCAACAUUUUCAGCAGAGAGAAAAACAAAAAACCCUAGGUAGCCGCAAGCCUAACAGCAACCAAGUGCGCUGUCGUCGCCGCCAUUUACGCGCCACACCUCCACGUUGACUGGCCACGUACCUGCAAUUCAGCAAACAAGGAAGCAAGCAGCAAAAAGAAAGGGACUAAUAGCGAAAUGGAAGGAAAGAAAUAUUAUUAUUAUUUUUUAUAUAUCUAUUUUCCUUUUCGUUUUGGCUAUAAAAAGCCAAUUAAAAUCUAUAAUAGGGGGAAGACGCACAUAUUGUUUUAAGAAAUUACAAAAAGAAAAUGAAAAGGAAAGACUGAGUUUUUUUGUUGGAGGUGAUUUUUUAAAAGUUUUUCUUUUUUUUUCUGUUGUUCUGUUCUUUUUUUAUAUAAGUAUGAAACAAAAUAAAAAGGAGGGUGAUUUAGUUUCUUUUUCAUGUUUUCUUCUUUCUAUUUCGAUCUCUAUUUCAUGUCUUUGAAAUAAUAGUAAAAGAGGGGAGGAGUUGUUUACCUUUUGAUCGGCGGCGUCGUUGUGCUGUGUGGGAGAUGUUUGUAAACGGCGCAGAGAAAGGAAAGGAGCUAUUAAGUUUUUUCUCCUUUGCUUUCUAAUGGCCGAAUGAUUAGGGUUUUUUUAGAUUUAUGAUAAUUUUUGAAACAACACUGUUUGGACUUUAUGCCAAGGCUCAAUGGCUUAUUUUCACUUUUGGUCUUCCUGUUUUACAAUGUUUUUAAAUUACUUUUUUUAUUUCUUGUAAAUUUCGCAACGCAUUUUAUUAUUGUUUCAAUUUAGUCCAAUACUGUGCAGUGUUUUGGGAGGCUUGGGUAAAUUGCUCCUUCGUUCCUCCUCCUGUUGCGCGUGUUUUAAAUUGCUCUCUUUCUUGUUUUAUUUUUGAAUUCAUCCUUUAAAUUCUGUUUGUUUUCAACUUAAUCCUUAAUUUGUUAUUUUAAGUUUUUUUUUAUUAUAUUAUUAAUACUGUUUAUUAGUAUUAUUAUUACUAUAUUAUUAUUAGUUUUUUUAUUUAUUAUAUCAUAUAUUAUUAUACCUACAUAUAUAUAUAUGUGCAUAUGUAUGUUAAUAUAUAUAUGUUUAUUUUAAACGUUUUUAAAUACAUAUGCAUAUUAUGUAUAUAUUUUAUUAUUAUUUUAUUUUCAUAGUUUUUAUAUAUUUUAUAUACAUUUAUAUUUUAUAAUAUUUAUAUUUUCAUAUUUUAUAAUUUAUAUAUGUUUAUACAUUCUUUGUAAUAUAUAUAUGUACUUUUUAGAAUUAUCAUAAGUUUUUUGUUAUUAUUUUGUUUUGAUAUAUUUCAUGUUUUUAUAUAUGUAUACUUAUAUAUAUGCCUGUUUUAAUAUAUGCAUAUACAUGUUUUCAAAAUUUAUUUAUGUAUUAUACUUAUAUUUUGAAAAUACAUAUGUACAUAUAAUUUAAAUUAAAGUAUUUGUUACAUAUCGUAUUAACAUUUUUUUAACAUAUCUUUUAGAAAAUACAUAUUUUGGUUUUGGUAAAACAUUAAAAACAUUUUCUUUUGAUUCAAAGACUUUUAAAAUAAAAGCGAAAUUCAAAGUUCGGAAUUUUCGAGGAAAUUGAGCCCUAACGUAUUGGGUUCCGAUUUUUUUUGUUAAUCCUAAAUAACCGAGAAUAUUCUUUAUUUUACAUAAGUAUAAAAUCAUUUUCGGGAACUUAACUUAUUGCGUCCUAAUGUAUUGGGUGUAACAUAUUGCGUUCUCGAAAUGAAGAUUUUCUUAUAAAAUAAAAGCGAUAUUCAAAGUUCGGGGAUUUUGAGACAUUGUACCCUUCUUCGCAUGACUUGAACAUUUGAUUAUCCUUUUCAGAUUUCAUUAUUGGAGUUUUUUUUUUUAAAUCUUUUUAACCCUCGACACUAAGACGUUAAAUAAUUAAUUUGGUACCGAUUUUUGGACAUUACGAGGGUGCUAACCCUUCCUCGUGCGUAACUGACUUCCGAACUCGUUUUCUCAAAUUUCAUAGACCAGAAUAAUUUUUAAGGUGAGUCGAUCACACCUCAAUAAAGGAUCGGUGGCGGCUCUAAUUUUUGUUUUUUAAAGUCGAUAACUAAAGUUUUGUUUUCAAAAAAUAGUUUCAACAGCUUGACGACUCCGUUGGGGAAAAACACGAGAGUCGAGCCAAAAAUUGAUUAAUUUUUGUCUUAAUGUCGAAACUUUUUUGAGAUCCUUUUGCAUUCAUUAUUUUCUUGCUUAAUUGAUCUUUGCAUUAUACAUUGCAUGAGUUGAAUGAUUUUACCCCUCUAAGUGGGAGUGAGAAACUAGUCUUUCGUGAGGUUUUCACCUCCGUGCAGGAUAGUGGAUUGCUUUCGAGAUACAUUCGUACCUAUGUCUUCGUGAGAUUUUCAUUUCCGUGUAGCUAUAGGGAAGUGUAUCCCCCUGAACUGAACUCGAUCUGUAUGAGCCUAUAAUGGGUGAGGAUCAAGGAAUCUGCUGGUUCAGGUACCCUUACUUCAGAACCGAACCACAUAUAGAAGACCUUAGGAGCACACCCUAGGUAGAGCCACUUCAAAACCCUAGUGAUCACCCGAAUAGACGUUCUAUUUAUUCUUGCUUGCUUUUGCUUUGUACUAACCUGUUUCUUUUUUGUUAUAAUUGCAUUACAUUUUCAUCAUAAAAAAGUGGUGUUGAUUCACGUUCAGUUGCGAAAUAGAGAGCUUGUCAUAAGAAAAUGAGUUUCUUGAUAAAAUGGAAGACAAUAUGGUUGUCCGAAUAUGGUCCAAGAAAACGUGAUAAGAGAAGGAUGAUAGUUUAAUGGAGGACUACACGACUAUGGAUUCAAGAUGAAAAAGAUUAUUCGAGAGCCGCUGAACUUUCUUAAAGAGAAGCCAACGAGCAUCACGAGGAUGAGUGAGCAACGAGUUGCGGCCCGGAUCGAGCAAAAAGGAGAUAGAAGAGACAUCUUUUUGAAGAGUUCGUGAGAUUUAUCUUAACGCUCGAAGAAGAGGAUCGAAUGUCUCCGCCUAUGAGGGCAAGGCCGUAUAAAUAUCCAUUUUAUGUAAAGAGAUUUGUUUUCUAGUAAAGUUUUCUAAAUGGAAUUGAAUCAGAAUCAACGUCUCUUUAUGCAUUCAUUACAUGCAUUCGCAUUACAUGACAUUAUACGUAUUAAAGUCCACUAAAAGAGCCUAAUCGAUUAAAAUCAUUCCUCAGUUAACCUGGAAACCAACCAAUAAACUAAACACCGUUACGGUACUCGGGCGAAAUCAAGAAGUAUGGACCAAAGAUUAGAAAAGCUCGAACAAUUCCAAACAUAAAUGCAGGAUCAGCUUCAGCAGCAAAUGAAUGAGCAGCUCGAGAAGAUUCAGCAGAAUUUGAAGGAAAAAAUGAUGGAAUCUCAAGGGAAUAUGAUGGCUAAGUUGACUCAGUUGCUGACCGGAGAAAUUGAUAAAGGAAAAAACUCUGUGCUUAAUGUUGAAGAAGGAGACAGUGAGGGACCUGUCUAUCCUCCAGGCUUUACCCCUCAGCAAGUUGAGGAAUGUCCGCGUAAAUCCUCUGUCACCAUUAGGCCGCAGCAAUUUCAAGCUAGUGCUUCAAUGCCAAUGAAUUUUCAAGUUGGAUCAGGCUCUAAUCCGAGAGACAACCUUUCAAUACGGCUAUUCCUGACUUCGAUGAAACAGCGGGAAAAGAAAAAGUGAAGGAUGAGUUGCCAAAACAGCUAGAGGAAAAGUACAAAUGGCUGGAAGAGAAAUUUAAAACGAUGGAAUGUGCUGAGAGCUACUAUAGGAUUGAUGCUGAAGAAUUAAGCUUGGUUCCGGAUUUAGUACUCCCUUACAAGUUCAAAGUGCCAUAGUUUGAGAAGUAUAAUGGAACUAGUAGUCCCGAAGCCCAUAUUACUAUGUUUUGUAGGCGGAUAACUGGGUAUGUUAGUAAUGACCAGUUGUUGAUACAUUGUUUCCAGGAUAGCCUCACAGGGGCAGUGUCCAAGUGGUACAAUCAAUUAAGUCGUGCCAAGAUUAAUUCAUGGAAAGAUUUAGCACAGGCAUUCAUAAAGCAGUACAAUCAUGUAACUGACAUGGUACCUGAUAAAAUCACUCUACAAAACAUGGAAAAGAAGUCCGGUGAAAGUUUUAGGCAAUACGCACAGAGGUGGAGGGAGGUCGCCAUCCAAGUUCAGCCACCGCUCCUGGAAAGGGAAAUGACAAUGCUAUUCAUAAAUACAUUGAAAGCUCCGUUCAUCACAUAUAUGUUAGGGAGUGCCACAAAAAUAUUUUCUAACAUAAUCAUGAAUGGUGAAAUGAUUGAAAGCGCCAUAAGGAGCGGAAAGAUUGAUGCUGGAGGAAAUAAUAGAAGGCAAGCCUCAAAAGAAAAAGAAAAUGAUGUGAACAGCGUGAAUAUGUACAGUAAAUCGAUUGCUAAUCAGUAGGGUUCAUCAAGACAAGAAUCAUGUGUGAAGCAAGGUACUGAAAAACUCCAGUUCACGCUAAUUCCAAUGUCGUACAAAGAGCUGUAUCAAAGCUUAUUCGAUGUGCAUGUUGUUUCUCCUUUACAUGUGAAGCCUCCACAGCCUCCGUAUCCCAAAUGGUACAACGCAACUGCACAAUGCGAUUAUUAUGCGGGAAUUACAGGACACUCAAUAGAGAAUUGCAUUACCUUCAAAAAGUUAGUUGAAAAAUUCAUCAACAUGGGUAUUGUCAAGUUGGAUGGCUCAUUUAAUGCAGAAAAUUCGCUACCCAAUCAUGAUUGACAAUGGAGUGAAUGCAAUAUAUGAGGAGAUAUUGGGAAGUGUUCACAUCAAUGACAUAUAGGGAGACACAAAUGAAAGGGGGACCUUGUUAGAUAUCCGCCCUUAUAAAUCUGGGAGUGUUCUAAGUAAUUGAACUGCGGAAGAAAUCCCUAUAAUUUUUAGAGCUUAUUUAGAGUAAUGUUCAGAACAUUUUUGUUGUUUUUAGCCUAAAAAUGAUAGAAAUUCCUUUGUGAAAUAGGCUCAUGUCUGAACGUCGUUAUUCUAAUAAAAUACAUCUUUGCAUUCAUUUUUGAGCCAAUAUUUUUUCAUUCUUUUUGAAAUAAUUAUUUUUUCAUUCUUUUGGAUUUUCUUCCAUGUCAUUAUUUCAUUUAUAAUUAUAUUGUACAAAUAGUUAUUCAUAAAUACAUUCUUUUGUAUAUUCUUUUAUAUUGGGUCUCCAGAUAUCAAUAACAUGAGUGACGCUGCUACAGGCUCAGAAUUUUCUUUUGAGCGAAGCAUGUGUUUAGAGGGAUUUCAUGACUUUGAAGAUAACAUAGAUUGUAGCCUAUUUUCGGACUUGUUAAAGAUGGUAGAACAAGUCGAGAAACGGAUCUUACCCUACAAAGAAUCAUUGGGAUACAUGACUUCUCAUUAUAUAGGGCAUGAAGGUUAUUUGGUCGAUCUUGUCAAAAGAGUCUGACGGCCAUUGAUUCAUCUUUGUGAUCGUCAGUUACUUUACUAAAUAAAUAGAAGCUGCUUCAUAUGCCAAUGUCACAAAGUCGACAGUUAACAAAUUCGUGAAAAAUCAUAUGUCAGUAUGGGACGCCAAAAGGAUUAUAUCUGACAAUGUACUAAAUUUGAACAACAGCAUAAUAUCAAAAGUUUGCAGUUUGUUCACGAUUAAUGCCAUAUUGCCUAAAAAAAUAUGGCGCGAAAAAAAAAACUCUGCCAGGGUAAUGCCUUUCUCUUGGGCCCAUCGCGGUUUUGCCUAUUGAAGACAAAAUUCUUUCUGAGUUUUUGAAUCCAAUUCCGAUUGAAGAGGAAUGUUCAAAGUUGUCCAUCAUGGUCAAAUGAGCCAAAAGCAAAUGAUGCAAGUUCACAAAAAAGAUCCAUCCUAGAGAAUUCCUUGAGAGGAACCUGGUAUUGAAAAAGAUCCUUCCCAUACAAAAAGAACUUCAUCCCAAGCUGGGAAGGACCUUAUGUGGAAGGCCUUAUUUAGAAAAGCGUCGAUUUUGAUCAAAAAGGAUAACAAGGACAUGCAUAAUCCUAUGAGUUCAGAUUCAAUCAAAAAUAUUUCAAAAUAUAAAAAAAAACAAAAAAAAAUAGAGAGAAAAGAAGAAAGAAAAUGGAGAGGCCAAGAUGAAAACCCGCAAAGGGCGCCUUGAAACCAAAGGGGAUUUGAGUUGAAAACCCGAAAAGGGCAGCUCAAAUAUUGAUUAGAAUGGGGCAUGAGAUGAUCAGAGCAGUUCAAAUUUUGAUCAGAUUGGGGCAUAUGAUGAUCUUGAAUCAAUAAGAAAGGGUAAACAACAUCUUAGGACAUCGACAGAGUACUGUAGAUCUCCUAAACACAUGUCAAACUCAGAAAGUUUGUAUAAAGAAGUUCAAGCUGCGAUAUCUGGAGCAUCCAAUUUUUAUAUUGAAUUUGCUAUUCUUGGAAUAAUUCAUGCUUUUCCAAUAUACACAUUCCCAAUCAAUUUCUUUGUUAUCCUUAUUUACUAUUUUUUUGAUAAUCUAUUCCUUUCGAGCUAUGCUCAGAACCAAUUGUAUUCUCAUCCAUUGUUAUACCCUUUUUGUAAGUAUGUUGCAUUGGAAUAAUGAUUAAUAGACUAAUAAAACUUUCACAAGGGAAGUUUGGCAUAUUACUCUAGAAGUUUCUAAAUAAUACAGGAACCUGAAACAGAAUUAUUGUUUAGAACGCACCAUGUUUAAAGGUUGGAAAUCUGAAAAAGAAGAGUCUAAAUUAAGACUUUCUCUUUGGAUUUUGUUGUUAAAAACAUUGACUGAACAAAAUGACAAAGCUUAAAUAAACAACUAAGCAAUGAUCACCCUGACAUUGCAGUGGAGUAGAUUGAAGCACCAGUUCUUAUACCUCUGAAGAUGCAGUAGGAAGGAAUGAAGCUACUUGAAGAAGAAGAGUACCAAGGUCCAGCACGACCGAUCAAAAUUGGUUAUUUUUAAAGUCUUUACUUCAUUCCCGUUUCACGACAACAAACAAAGAGGGACAGCUGUAAUACCCAAUUUUAGCCUGGGCGCAUGCAAAUUAAAUAAAAAAAUAAAACCAAAUAAAAUAAAAUUCAGUCCAUUGUCCAUUUACACCCAAAAUAAACCCAAGAUCUUAGCCCAAUUACAUAAAUAAUUAAAACCCAAAUAACCUAAACCCUAGCCCAACAAGCAGCCCAAUACACCCAACAUUUUCAGCAGAGAAAAAAACAAAAAACCCUAGGUAGCCGCAAGCCUAACAGCAACCAAGUGUGCUGUCGUCGCCGCCAUUUACGCGCUACACCUACACGUUGACUGGCCACGUACCUGCAAUUCAGCAAAUAAGGAAGCAAACAGCAAAAAGAAAGGGACUAAUAGAAAAAUGGAAGGAAAGAAAUAUUAUUAUUAUUUAUAUAUCUAUUUUCCUUUUCGUUUUGGCUAUAAAAAGCCAAUUAAAAUCUGUAACAGGGGGAAGACCCGCAUAUUGUAUCAAGAAAUUACAAAAAGAAAAUGAAAAGGAAAGACUGAAUUUUUUUUUCAGAUCUGAUUUUUUUUAAAGUUUUUUUUUUCUGUUGUUCUGUUCUUUUUUUUAUAUAAGUAUGAAACAAAAUAAAAAGGAGGGUGAUUUAGUUUUUUUUUUUUUUGAGUUUUCUUCUUUCUGUUUCGAUCUCUAUUUCAUGUCUUUGAAAUAAUAGUAAGAGAGGGGAGGAGUUGUUUACCUUUUGAUCGGCGGCGUCGUUGUGCUGUGUGGGAGAUGUUUGUAAACGGCGCAGAGAAAGGAAAUGAGCUAUUAAGUUUUUUCUCCUUUGCUUUCUAAUGGCCGAAUGAUUAAGGUUUUUUUAGAUUUAUGAUAAUUUUUAAAACAACACCGUUUGGACUUUAUGCCAAGGCUCAAUGGCUUAUUUGCACUUUUGGUCCUCCUGUUUUACAAUGUUUUUAAAUUACUUUUUUUAUUUCUUGUAAAUUUCGCAACGCAUUUUAUUAUUGUUUCAAUUUAGUCCAAUGUUGUGCAGUGUUUUGGGAGGCUUGGGUAAAUUGCUCCUUCGGUCCUCCUCCUGUUGCG
rnacentral:lncRNA from 1 species